AACCGCCGUAUGCGGAACCGCACGUACGGUGGUGUGAGAGGGCGACGGGGGUGACCCCGUCCCCUACUCGAU
rfam:Azoarcus sp. KH32C plasmid pAZKH DNA, complete genome.